ACACUGCAAAUUAUUUGAAUCUUAUCAAGAUAAAAAAACUUAGAUUUAGAAGUGUUAGAUAAUUGAUCUUGUUUUAAGAGUGAAUUUCUUAUUUUUAGUGUUUAACUUUACACUAAAAUCUUAAAUCAAGCACAACCUUAUCUUUUUUGUCUCAAAUAGGCAUGACAUCUUAAAAUGAGUCAAAUAACUGUUAAAUUAAGAUCUUUUACAUCUCUCCCUCAAAUUCUCAUCAAUAAAGCUUGUUUUAAGAUUCAGUAAACUCAAGUUGCUUGAUUCAAGAGUCACACAAAAAGCAUCUGAAAGAAACAGAGUUUAUUAUUGCUCUGACUUCAAGCAUGUUCAGACAAUGUGAGGAUAAAUUAUACAGCCUUCACCACAACUCACCAUACAGUCCAUGGAAUUGUUUAAUGACCAAAACAGUUUGUUAACAAAAACAGGUCCAGGAAACCGGCAAACUUGAUCACCCAAUAAAUCAAUGCUUCCCUUUCAUUCCUCCAUUUUAAUGUCUACUUCUGUGGGCAAUAAUAUCACAAAGACUAUAUUUUAUUGGCACAAACAUAUGUUCCUUGAAACUAACAGAAAAAUAAGAAAUACAGUCAAUGAGUUCAUGUACAAAUUCUGUAGCCUGGGCAACAUUGGGAACUGCCACCUCAUAUGCCAGCAAUUCUGGACUCAAAUUCAGUGUCUCAUAACGCUGGUACUCAAAAGCAACAUAAGAGGAAUCAAUCACAAAUAUAUCUUUUAUCAGUCCGAACACUGGGAAAGCAUCAUCUACAUCUACAAUAAUCAUAGAUUUACCACUAAUGUACUUAUUGCCAUUGAGGAUGUACCAUUUCACUGAGACAACAGAUUGCAUGACCUCUACGCCUAGAAAAUCUUUGACUUUUCUCUUGACAUAAUCAAAAUUUUUGACAGCUGAGACAGGCCCCGAUUCUCUUUCACUAGCAAAAAUUGGAUGCUCAAUGCCUAUUUCAUUUUGACAACAUUCAAGGAACUGGUUAUGGUUUGCAAGCGAUUUACAGACAUUUUUGAAAUUUAACUUAGAAGCCCACUGCUUAAAAUAACUGUGCUUAGCUUCAAAUCGCAUACACAUACUUCUUAUUAAUGGACCAAGAGAUAUGAUUUGGCUUGGUAGAUGUAACAUGUAAUGUUGCUUGGGUAUUACAUUGGCUUCAGAGAAAAGUUCUUUGAAAUGAUGCAGAUGUUGCUCAAUCAUGCGUCUGAGCCGUAAUACGGUUUCUAAAGAAAUAACAGGAGCAAGGACAAUUUGAACAAUCUCAAUUAACUUGAGAAUAAAUUUGACAUACUCGUUGUCCAUACCGUUCAAAAGAAAAGGUAGGAUUUUUAAAAGUAUCAACAUUUGUCCACAUGACUGCUUUAAUUUAUUGUCAUUAGCAGCUAAAGUACUGACACUAAUAGGACAUGGCUUAUCUCUUAUGUCUAGAGGUGAGUAAGGAAAAUUUAGAAUAGCUGAGUUAAUCUCAUCUAAUUCUAUCUGUCCUGACAGAAUCAGGUUUUUUAAUACAAGCUUUAUUUCCAUUGGUGCAACACCUUCAAAAAUUACAUGCAUUAUAUCCUGUGGUGUUUGUUUGAUCAGAUCAAAUGCUGGAACAUCAACUAGUCUGCUUCUUCUGUUAAUCCCAUAAGUGGUUUUGAGGGAUGCUUUCAAUGUUUCUGUGCUUGCCUUAUCUAUUUCAACACACUGCCUAAUGUGCUUUUCCAAAGUUCUUUCAGCAAACCUAUUCUCCUCAAAAAUACUUUGCAUAUCCUCAAAGGAGCAUUCACAAUGUCUACAUUUGCUAUAAGCAAAACCAACACCUUGUUUAAAUCCAGCAAUAUCAUGUUGGGCAAGUGUGUCUCCACAUAUGGCGAUCACAGCACCAAACAACUCAAUUUCACCAUUUGGGGUGUCAAUCCUAACACCAUUGUACAGAAGUGUCAGAUCUUUUUGGAUUCUUUUUAGUAUAACAUCAACACCCCACUGAGAAAUAUUGUUUGCCUUGGCAAUAGCCAGGAGUCUUAUUGCAGCCAACUUCGACCUAAAUUUUGGAUCUAUAUUCCCUAAACUAUAAUAAAACAUCAGUAAUUUAUUUGCAGAGGCAUGGGCGCCUAAAGGGUUACAUAUUUCAAUUUCAUCGGUGUACAAUAGUAUUUGCAAUGCAUUUGGCCUUUGAGAAUAUAAUGGAUGGGAUGUAAAAAGGGCUCCAUCAGUAAAAUCAUACAAGAAUCCCUCACUUCUUUGUGGUACAGUGGUUAACAUGGUGAAGAUUCUGGGAUUGGUCAGUAACUGCUUAAGACUUUGAAUGAGUGGUACAUAGUAAAAACUUUUGCCUCUUAAGGCCAUGACCCUUGAAAGACCACGCUUUACCCAACAAAUCUUCUGGGACACCACAACUUCCUCUGGGUUGACUGGAUUGAAAUAGUUCCCGGAUGGUUUUAUUCUGUCCAUAUGCUGUGGUUGAGAAAGGAUCCAUGAACGCAUCAAACGUAGCCAAAGCCUCCCCUUGGAGCUGAGCAGUUGUGUCUGGAUUCUCUUCAAACACACUUCUGAUUCUCUCCCUUAGUGUGUCAAUGAGAGCAGCUUGGUACUGUUGCACCCCUGAGAUGACACUGUUGACAGUUCUCUGGGAAAAUAUUUAAAAUGUAAAUAAUUUUGUCACCCAUAUAAUUCACAGGCCCAUAUUUUACAUUAGAAUAAUUUAAAUUAAUAGUACCAUUAAAGCAUUUGCCCAUGAAGAUAAAUUUACCUGUGAUAACUGGCACUGUUCCCGGACACUGAUGGCGAAUGCCGCUGCGGAUCUAGCUAUAUCAGGUCUGGUUCUGGAGGUCACAGCAACAGCGUCUUCCUUUAUAAAAUGAGUUGUAAUUUUUUAAGAGCGAGUAGAUGGACACAGUCAAAGUUGCAAUUGAUUUGAAAGGAAAUGGACAUUUUUGAGGAGAUGCCCGAGAGGGGAAAGACUUCAUUUUAAUCCCGUAUUCGCUUCACUGGUCUGGAACCUGAGCAGCUCUAUCGUCUAAGGCGGCCGUCAGCUUCAGGCUGUGGUGACGGUUCAGGUAAAGAGGCAUCAGGUGGGACAGCCGUAGUGCUGGCCGCUGCAGGAGUGCUACAGCUGGCAAACACCGAAACACCAAAUGUUUCCUGUCCCAAAGACCGAGAAGAAGGCGUCGUACUCCAUCCGCUUGGUGGGCAUCCAGUCCUCAAAUACUGAAGGUGCGUCCGUUUAAUGUGGCGAAAGAAAGAGUUAAAAACUCUAAAGUCCUGUUCACAUCCAUCAAUACCACAGUAAACCCAAAAAUCCGGGCUGCGACUGUGACUUUUAUUAAUGUGGCUA
ensembl:lncRNA